AUGCCCAAACCUGUCCUGGUCCUGCCAGCCCUGGCCUCACCCCCGGCCACCCUCCAGCCCCUGCCACCUGGGAGCUUGGGACACUUGUCUUUCGAUCACUCCCUGGCCCCCAAGCAUCUGGACUGGAAGGAGGACGGCCAGCCCCCAAAGCUCGACUCUGCCUUCAGAAACGGGUUCUCCGGCCUCAGGAAGACUUGGCACAGGUGCCACGUGUGUGACCACCCCUUCCCGUCCAAGCAGCACCUCCGCGAGCACACGAGUGCACCCCCGGACAGCCGGCCCUACAGCUGCCGGCUCUGCAGAAAGGUGUACAAGCGGCGGGGCAGCCUGAGCGCGCAUGUGCGGCUGCACCACGGGGACUCCCGACCCAGGAAGCUUGUGUGCUGCGAGUUCUGCGCCAAGGUGUUCGGCCACGUCAGAGUGUACUUCGGCCACCUGAAAGAGGUGCACGGUGUGGCCAUCAGCACCGAGCCCUCCCCCUGCGAGCCGCAGCCGGGGGACCUGCCGAGGACCUUGCCAGAGGGACUGGUGGAGCGGGAGAUCAAGUCCAGCCUGGAAGAAGACCUCAUGAACCAGAAUGACGAGGCCAGGUUCCAGAUCAGAUGUGGUCGCUGUCAGAUCACUGCCCAGUCUCUGGCUGAAAUCAAGUUCCACCUGCUUUCCGUUCAUGGCGAGGAAAUCCAGGGCCAGUUGCCAGAGGAGCGCUCACCCUCCCCCAGAAGCAGAGCAGCUCAGGGAGAACUGACUAAACAGGCUGCUCCUUUCUGGAAACGUCCUGAGAGAAGGAAGCUGCUCAGGCAUCAUCCCUCAGCUGGGGAGUUCUGUGCAGUCCCCAGACUGAAAAGACAACUUUACCUCUAUCAUCAGAACGACAUGGAAACACUCACGAAACAGGAACAAGCCCAGCCAGGACCCAGUGAGCCCAGGGGAGACCCCCAGGGCCCCAGGUGUCCUGGCCCCCAGGCUGCCCUCCCCCUGCCCCACUCUGGCUUUAACUGUGUCCUUUGUGUGCAGAUACUAGGAAGCAAAGAAGAGCUACUUCUCCACUGGGAGCGGCAACACAAGUGUGAGGACCCCCCCAAACUGUGGACAAUUUUCAGCACGCUCUCCAACCAGGGAGUUGUCCAACUUUCCAGCAAAACCGGAAAAUGA
rnacentral:lncRNA from 1 species